AAAAAUUUGUUGUGCAUUUUUAAUAUGAUAGGUAUGACUAAACUCUAAAUUGUACAUCAUUUAUGGUAGAUCAAUUAACCUUGUGAGAUUUUGAGCCUUAUAUGGAUAACAUACAAAAAUCUAUCUCUUUCUUUCUUGUGUGAUUCACUCAUGUCUGUUAGUAUCUAGAACUUGAAUUGAAUCUUGUUGAUGAUGUUGUUUACUUGUGUACACUGAUAUAAUAAAGACAAUUUUUUU
rnacentral:lncRNA from 1 species